rnacentral:rRNA from 1 species
GACGACGCUGGCGGCGUGCUUAACACAUGCAAGUCGGACGAGCGGCGGGCGGGUGAGUAAUGUAUGGGAAUCUGCCUGAUGGCGGGGGAUAACUACUGGAAACGGUAGCUAAUCCCGCAUACCAUCAGAUGACCCCGUCUGGGGUUAGCUAGUAGGGGAGGUAACGGCUGACCUAGGCGACGAGCCCUAGCUGGUCUGAGAGGAUGAUCAGCCACAUGGGGACGGAGACACGGCCCAGACUCCUACGGGAGGCCGCAGUGGGGAAUAUUGCACAAUGGGCGCAAGCCUGAUGCAGCCAUGCCGCGUGUAUGAAGAAGGCCUUCGGGUUGUAAAGUACUUUCAGCGAGGAGGCGUUACUCGCAGAAGAAGCACCGGCUAACUCCGUGCCAGCAGCCGCGGUAAUAC